UUAGAGUUUGAUCCUGGCUCAGGAUGAACGCUAGCUACGGGCUUAACACAUGCAAGUCGAACGGAUUCUGGAUUCGUCUGGAAUUAGUGGCAAACGGGUGAGUAACACGUAUCCAACCACCCUGCGACUCGGGGAUAGCCUCUUGAAAGGGAGAUUAAUAUCCGAUGUACUGUUUUUGGUGCAUGCCAUUUUCAGUAAAGUUUUUUUUACGGUCGCUGACGGGGAUGCGUUCCAUUAGAUAGUCGGUGUGGUAACGGCUCACCGAGUCUAUGAUGGAUAGGGGUUCUGAGAGGAAGGUCCCCCACAUUGGAACUGCGACACGGUCCAAACUCCUACGGGAGGCAGCAGUGAGGAAUAUUGGUCAAUGGGCGAAAGCCUGAACCAGCUAUGUAGCGUGAAGGAUGACUGCCCUAUGGGUUGUAAACUUCUUUUGUUCGGGAAUAACAGACUUCACUUGUGGAGUUUUGCAUGUACCGUUCAAAUAAGGAUCGGCUAACUCCGUGCCAGCAGCCGCGGUAAUACGGAGGAUCCGAGCGUUAUCCGGAUUUAUUGGGUUUAAAGGGUGCGUAGGCGGAAAUGUAAGUCGGUGGUGAAAUCCUGCAGCUUAACUGUAGAAUAGCCGUUGAAACUGUGUUUCUUGAGUACAUUUGAGGUAGGCGGAAUGUGGUGUGUAGCGGUGAAAUGCAUAGAUAUACCACAGGAACACCCGAUGUCGAAGGCAGCUUACUAAACUGUCACUGACGCUGAUGCACGAAAGCGUGGGUAUCAAACAGGAUUAGAUACCCUGGUAGUCCACGCUGUAAACGAUGAUUACUGGUUGUUUGCGAUACACUGCAAGUGACUGAGCGAAAGCAUUAAGUAAUCCACCUGGGGAGUACGUCGGCAACGAUGAAACUCAAAGGAAUUGACGGGGGCCCGCACAAGCGGAGGAACAUGUGGUUUAAUUCGAUGAUACGCGAGGAACCUUACCUGGGUUUAAAUGGGGAGUGACAGGCUUGGAAACAGGCCCUUCUUCGGACACUCUUCAAGGUGCUGCAUGGUUGUCGUCAGCUCGUGCCGUGAGGUGUCGGGUUAAGUCCCAUAACGAGCGCAACCCCUAUCGAUAGUUACCAGCACGUUACGGUGGGGACUCUAUCGAGACUGCCGGUGUAAACCGUGAGGAGGGUGGGGAUGACGUCAAAUCGGCACGGCCCUUACAUCCAGGGCUACACACGUGUUACAAUGGCCGGUACAAAGGGCAGCUACACAGCGAUGUGAUGCUAAUCUCCAAAUCCGGUCUCAGUUCGGAUCGAAGUCUGCAACCCGACUUCGUGAAGCUGGAUUCGCUAGUAAUCGCGCAUCAGCCAUGGCGCGGUGAAUACGUUCCCGGGCCUUGUACACACCGCCCG
rnacentral:rRNA from 1 species